rnacentral:lncRNA from 1 species
CGUUCUUUUCGAGGUCGGCCGCGUGGCUGGAAGACAUGGCCACUCCAGUCGGUGUUGAGCACGGCGAGCAGUCUCAGGCCUUUAGUGAUGAUGGUAAGGCUGCCUGGGUGGGAAAACGGGGUCUUCCUUGACACGACACUAACAUACUUGGCUUCCCUUCCUCAGAGACGAAGUGGUGACGAUAAUCUCGGUUUCUCCCUCAUAGGGUGGUUAGGAGGGUUAAAAGUACUGGAUGAGAAAAUGCUUUCCAAACGUUGAGAAAAUGUUACUAUGUGAAGGGAGAGAGCUCAAGCCCGUCCUCGGCGUCAUAGGGCCGGCUUCUGCGGGGGAGAGCGCCUAACAACCUGGGCAGCCCCGUGCGCCUCCGCCGCGCGUGUGCUGAGCGUCAUGCCCAGGGGUCUUCGGUGCCCGCGCACGGGCAGACUCUGACGAUGGUGGUUCUUAAUUCAGCAUCAGGAGUGUUAACGUGUGAAGACGUGAUUCCGCUUGGAGUGUCUUGAGGACGGCCCCAAUCGGUAGUUCAUAUUUAGCUUUACAGAUAGGAGUCAAUAGGAUUGUAAACUUCUGGAAAGCCGUAGUUUUAACAACGAGCCUUUUUUCCUCCCCCAGAGGCCUUUCUUUGUUUGGCAUCUGCAGAGACGGUGAAAAGCAGAGCUCCAGGUUGAAGGAUCAGAGUAAUAGAUGGAGCCCUUAACAUGAGUAAGAGUGGGUGCAGGCAGGGCCUGAGUGGUCACUAGAAAUGAGAAAGCACAGUUGGUGCCAUCACAUACAUUCACCUCCUGCUUUAUUCUGAAGUUCAAGUAUGAGAAUACGUGUUGACAUACAAGCCAGCUAUGGUAAGAAAUUACUCAAAAUUCAGAAUGCUAAUUAUUUUAAUGAUAAAAAUGAGUAGCGUCUUUGCCCGUGUGAUUUGGGGCCACUAGGUGUCAUUGUAACCAGCGUGGAUCCUCGUUAGGGCAUGCAGGGAUGAAAGAGACAUGGCAAAUGAAUUUUGGAUCGCUAGGAUUUAGGAAUCUUUGUUAUUGGCUGAGCUGAGGAUGAUUUAAAGUUAUCCCUGUCUGAAAUGGUAUCUUUUGUGAGGAGGUCUGACUUGCUGAGGCUCAGCUGUUUAAUACAAAUCUGGAGAAUAAACCUUAAGGUGGUUUCUGUUAGAAUGAAGCCUGUUAUCCUUCUCUUUUAGAUUAAAGGUGGUGGCUGUGGCCUUGAAAACAGUCAUGUGAAAACUCAUCACCUUAAGGUGUUAAGUGUAAGGAUCUUCAUGAUGAAAUUUCUGUAAAUGGUGAGAUUUUUAGUACUUUCAUAGACUUGAAUAUGCUUAUGGUCCUCUUUAAGUAUUGGUUUGUUAGUUUUGGGGAUGUGUUGGUCUUCCAGGGUUACGAUUGCCCAGAUAAUGGAAGUAGUAUGGAAUUCCUUUUGAUAGGGUCCUUGCCAAGCACUCUCAUAAAGAGCAUUUUUUGUUUGUUUGUUUUGAGACAGAGUUUUGCUCUUGUUGCCCAGGCUGGAGUGCGAUGGUGCGAUCUUGGCUCAGCGCAACCUCUGCCUCCUGGGUUCAAGCUAGUCUCCUGCCUCAGCCUCCCAAGUAGCUGGGAUUACAGGCAUGCACCACCACGCCUAGCUAAUUUUGUGUUUUUAGUAGAGACGGGGUUUCUCCAUGUUGGUCAGGCUGGUCUUGAACUCCCGACUUAAGGUGAUCUGUGCUGGGAUUACAGGCGUGAGCCACCUUGCCUGGCCAUAAAUAGUAUUUCUAAUAUCAACCCCAUAUGAGGUAAAUUUUUUUCCCCACUCUGCUGCUGAGUAAGUAAAAGUGAGGCGUAAAGAGUUCUUUUGCCCAAAGUUAUACAAGCAGUUACUGAGUUAGACUGGCAGUUCUGAACUGGGGAGCGAUGGUGUUCCUGGCAUCUGGUGAAUGCUACUAUUAAUAAAUACCCUGGCUGGGCCUGGAUAUUUAUCUCAUGCCUGUAAUCCCAGCACUUUGGGAGGCCGAAGCAGAUGGAUCACCUGAGGUCAGGAGUUCGAGUUCGAGACCAGCCUGGCCAACAUGGUGAAACCUUGUCUCUACUAAAAAUACAAAAAUUAGCUGGGUGUGGUGGCGGGCACCUGUAAUCCUAGCUACUUGGGAGACUAAGGCAGGAGAAUCUCUUGAACCCAGGAGGCAGAGGUUUGCAGUGAGCUGAGAUGGCACCAUUGUACUCCAGUCUAGGCGACAAGAGCGAAACUCUGUAAAUAAAUAAAUAAAUAAAUAUCCUACAAUGCAUACAACAGCCUGCAUGAGGAAUAAUUGAUCCACCCAGUAUGUCAGUAGAGCUGAGGUUGAGAAACUCCUGUAUACCACACGUUAGGCUAACUAGAGAUCUGAGCUCUAGUCUCAGCCUAUUUUCUCACCAGAGUCUUGUUUCUUCAUUUGUGAAACAGGGUUAGUGAUUUCCAAACUUGAUUAUUACAUCAGAGCCACCUACAAAGUGUUAAAAUAUACACAUUCCUGGGCCUCACCUCCAGGCAUGGGUGAGAAUGGCUCUGGAGUGGAGUCCAGGAAUCAUGUGGCCAGUCCAAGAGCAAGUGCAGUCAGCCUCAGUUUCCAAAGCCGGAAAAGGAUCCUCUAGUAGCCACGGUGUGGCAGCUGCUCUGAACCAGGACCUGGACCCGGACCCAAAGUGCCAUGUCUUUAAUGUUAGCUCCCAGCGAUGCCAGAUGGGAUCAGCACAGCCCUGCCUCUGCUGCUAAUUGUUCCUCUAAAGUAAUCGCCAUGCGUUCUUUGGGCUUCAUCUUUAAAGGAAUGAAGCAACUGAGAUUAUUCUGGAAAACCUUUUGGCAGUUAGUGAAAUUAGAGUACAACUAAGAACAUUUUCAGACCUCCACUGUGGAUGACCUGGGUAUAAUCUCACAAAUCGAUGGGACUGCAAGGAUUGUAAACUGAAAUGAACAUGAUUAUACUCUGUUGGAAGAGCCUAAGAGGAAACUGAUGCCAUGAGUUUCAGAGAGUAAUGCUUAACCCCAGUUACACAGGAUGCCGUCUUGUGUUUCCUCUUGUUUAGUUACCCACUACAGUGAUUUUGUGAUCUGCUAAUGGGUUGCCACCCACAACCAUUGCUUUAGCACUUUUACUUCAAAUCAAUGAAGGAUUGAUAAAAGUUCUCCUGGUGUCUCCGCAGAGUGCCUUCCAGGAACAGAUCUUUGCAUAGAAUAUCAGUGGUUUCCUUUUUUGUUUCAAAUAGUGGUCAGAAAAUACCCAGUGUUGACUCACCAAGGCAAUCAGCUUCCUUUUUCCCUUUUUUUGUUUUUUUUUUAACAUUUUAUAUUUUUGCUUUAUUUUAUUUUAUUUUAUUUUAUUUUAUUUUAUUUUAUUUUAUUUUUUGAGACGGAGUUCCACUCUGUCGCCAGGCUGGAGUGAAGUGGUACAAUCUUGGCUCACUGCAACCUCCACCUCCCGGGUUCAAGCAAUUCUCCUGGCUCAGCCUCCUGAGUGCUGGGACUACAGGCGCGUACCUUCUUUAGUAGAGACUGGGUUUCACCAUGUUGGCCAGGAUGGUCUCUAUCUCCUGACCUUGUGAUCUGCCUGCCUCAGCUUCCCAAAGUGCUGAGAUGACAGGUGUGAGCCAUCAGACCCAGCAUUUUUUUUUUUAAUUUAAAUUUAAAUUUUUUUUCAUUUUUUUGAGAGGUUUUUUUUGUUUUGUUUUGUUGUUGUUGUUGUUGUUGUUUUUGAGACAGUCUUGCUCUGUCACCCAGGCUGGGAGUGCAGUGGCAUGAUCUCUGCAACCUCUACCUCCCAGGUUCAAGCAAUUCUUGUGCCUCAGCCUCCCAAGUAACUGGGACUACAGGUGCACGCUACCACACCUGGCUGAUUUUUUUUGUUUUAGUAGAGACAGGGUUUCAACCAUGUUGCCCAGGUUGGUCUCAAACUCCUGAGCUCAGGCAAUCCACCCGCCUUGGCCUCCCAAAGUGCUAGGAUUACAGGUGUGAGCCACCACACCCAGCUAUUUUUUCUUUCGUUUUUUAAUUUUAAAGUUGGGGGGGGGUCUCAAUUUGUUACCCUGGCUGGUCUCGAACUCCCGGACUUAAGCGAUCCUCUGGCUCCAAGCCCACUACCAGUCUCAGGUUUCUUUACUAAAAGAUCACUACCUUUUUUUCUCUUAUCUGCUGCCAUGUGAGAUGUGGCUUUCACCUUCCGCCAUGAUUGUGAGGCCUUCCCAGCCAUGUAGAACUGUAAGUCCAAUAAACCUCUUUUGUAAAUUAAAAAAAAAAAAUCACUAUUUAAGAUACUAGGAUGGAUUGUGACUGUUGAGGAGUACUUACAUAUCCUACAUUUGACUACAUUAUUUCCAAACCAAGUAUUCCAUCCAAAGGAACAUACUGCUAUCAUAGAGACCAAGGAGGGACUGUUUAAGGUUGCCAAGGUGAAGCGAGCUGAGAGGCUUUGUCCUCGUGCCAGUAACUCUGAAAUCUCUCUUAAUUCCUGCUGUCCAGGCAGCAGAAUGCCAUGGUUUCCCCAAGUAGGUAGCUGCUUUAGCAGUUAAAGCCCAAAUGUCUGUUCUGUUGAUCAGAGGUCUCUGAAUUUCUGAAGUGGUGUUUCGUUUCUGGUGACUGAGUUAAUCCUUUACAAUCCCUCUUGUAAAGUGUGCUAAUAGAAAGAAUCCACCUUUCAAAGCUGCAGAACCAGACCGUGCCCUAAAUUGACCAACGUAACUGAUGUGCCUCAGGAAGUCUCUUGCCAGCUGUCCCUGUGAAGACCCCCCUCCUCCCCCCCAGCUGCUGCCUUGCACACUGAAGCAUCUCAGACUGUGCAAAGCCGUGUAGUCAUCAAGACAGUAAAUCCCAGGGCUUGGUUAAGUGCUGUGUGAUAACUUGUUUGGAUGAGACUUAACUUAAAACCACUUACAAUAAACUUGGGAAACUACCGUC